ACAAGCAGCAGGCUCUCUGCAACUCUCACAUGGUCACCUACUGAAGCUAAGCAGGGCUGCGCCUGGUCAGUACCUGGAUGGGAGACCACAUGGGAAAGCAAGGUUGCUGCCAGAA
rfam:Danio rerio chromosome 9, GRCz11 reference primary assembly.